rnacentral:rRNA from 1 species
UACGUAGGGCGCAAGCGUUGUCCGGAAUUAUUGGGCGUAAAGAGCUCGUAGGCGGUUUGUCGCGUCUGCUGUGAAAACCUAAGGCUCAACCUUGGGCUUGCAGUGGGUACGGGGCAGACUAGAGUGCGGUAGGGGUGACUGGAAUUCCUGGUGUAGCGGUGGAAUGCGCAGAUAUCAGGAGGAACACCGAUGGCGAAGGCAGGUCACUGG